rnacentral:lncRNA from 1 species
AUUGCAAUUGUUCUGAGAUGUUUGUCUUCCACUUAUCAGAAAUUAAGUUAGCAAGUUAACAUUUACCAUGAUAUGAAGUGCCUAGUGUAAACUGAAUUUAUCAGAUGUUUGUCUUCCACUUAUUAGAUGUUUGUCUAACCACUACCACCAACAACUAUGGGGAUUCAGAGGAAAACUAUGGAGAGUAUGUAAACUGAAUUUAGAUUGAUGUAUAU